rnacentral:misc_RNA from 1 species
AAGUCGUAACAAGGUUUCCGUAGGUGAACCUGCGGAAGGAUCAUUAAUGAAUUGAAAGGGAGUUGAUGCUGGCCAGGUCUCUGGCAUGUGCUCGCUUCCGACAAUCUUAUCCAUACACCUGUGCACACUGUGAGGGCAUGCAAGUGCCCUUAUUUACUACAUACACCUAAUAUGGAAAUCGCACGUGACUUGCGUCGUAUGGCGCUUAAAACUAAAAACAACUUUUAACAACGGAUCUCUUGGUUCUG